rnacentral:rRNA from 1 species
GAUGAACGCUGGCGGCGUGCCUAAUACAUGCAAGUCGAGCGAACGGACGAGAAGCUUGCUUCUCUGAUGUUAGCGGCGGACGGGUGAGUAACACGUGGAUAACCUACCUAUAAGACUGGGAUAACUUCGGGAAACCGGAGCUAAUACCGGAUAAUAUUUUGAACCGCAUGGUUCAAAAGUGAAAGACGGUCUUGCUGUCACUUAUAGAUGGAUCCGCGCUGCAUUAGCUAGUUGGUAAGGUAACGGCUUACCAAGGCAACGAUGCAUAGCCGACCUGAGAGGGGGAUCAGGCACACCGGAAACGAGAAACGGUACCAACACCCAAGGGGGGGAAGAGGGGGGAAUUUUGCCCAAAGGGGGAAAGCCCUAACGGGCAAACGCGGGUGGGGGAAGAAGGGCUUCGGAUUGGAAAAAACUUUUAGUUGGGAGAAAAAAUAGUUAGAAGAAACUUUGCACAUUUGAAGGGUCCCAAAGAAGAAGGCCCGGCUAAAUUCGGG